rnacentral:piRNA from 1 species
UGUUGACCUUUGCCCUCAGGAUGUGAG